rnacentral:rRNA from 1 species
AUACGUAGGUGGCAAGCGUUGUCCGGAUUUACUGGGUGUAAAGGGCGUGCAGCCGGGAAGGCAAGUCAGAUGUGAAAUCUGGGGGCUCAACCUCCAAACUGCAUUUGAAACUGCUUUUCUUGAGUAUCGGAGAGGUAAUCGGAAUUCCUUGUGUAGCGGUGAAAUGCGUAGAUAUAAGGAAGAACUCCAAUUGCGAAGGCAGCUCACUGGGGUACAACUGACACUGAGGCUCGAAAGUGUGGGUAUC